rnacentral:rRNA from 1 species
GUGCCAGCAGCCGCGGUAAUACAGAGGUCUCUAGCGUUGUUCGGAUUUACUGGGCGUAAAGGGCGCGUAGCGGCGCGGCGUGUCGAGUGUGAAAUCUCCGGGCUCAACCCGGAAAGUGCGCUCGAAACUGCCGCGCUCGAGUGCGGGAGAGGGAAUCGGAAUGCAGGGUGUAGCGGUGAAAUGCGUUGAUAUCCUGCAGAACACCGGAGGCGAAGGCGGAUUCCUGGAACGCAACUGACGCUGAGGCGCGAAAGUCGGGGGAGCAAACAGGAUUAGAUACCCUGGUAGUCCCGACCGUAAACGGUGCACGCUAGGGGUGGGGGGAUUUCAACCCUCCCGUCCCCAAGCCAACGCGUUAAGUGCCGCCUGGGGAGUACGGCCGCAAGGCUAAAACUCAAAGAAAUUGACGGGGGCCCGCACAAGCAGAGGAGCAUGUGGCUUAAUUCGAUGCAACGCGAAGAACCUUACCUGGGUUUGACAUCCCCGGCGAUGCCUGUGGAAACACGGGCGGAGGCUAUCCGGGAGACAGGUGCUGCAUGGCUGUCGUCAGUUCGUGCCGUGAGGUGUUUGGUUAAGUCCACCAACGAACGCAACCCCUGUGGACAGUUGCCAGCGGGUAACGCCGGGAACUCUGUCUAUACUGCUCGUUUACGCGGGAGGAAGGUGGGGAUGACGUCAAGUCAGUAUGGCCCUUACAUCCAGGGCUGCACACGUGCUACAAUGGCCGGUACAGAGGGACCCCAAGCGCAAGGCGGAGGAAACCCCUUAGAGCCGGCCCCAGUUCAGAUCGGGUCUGCAACCCGACCCCGUGAAGUCGGAUUUGCUAGUAACGGCGCAUCAGCUACGGCGCCGUGAAUGCGUUCCCGGGCCUUGUACACACCGCCCGU